rnacentral:rRNA from 1 species
GGCCUUCCCCCCGUCCGGCAAAUGCACCCUUCCUCGGAAGGUGUGCGCCGGGUUCCGUGGGGAGGGGUUACAACCAACACUUUGCCGUCCAACCAUGUUGCCUCGGGCGAGACCCUGCCUUCGGGCGGGUGGCACCCCGGUGGACACAAUCAAACUCUUGCAUAACAAUGUAGUCUGAGUGAUUUAAACAAUAAAUCAAAACUCUCAACAACGGAUCUCUUGGUUCUGGCAUCGAUGAAGAACGCAGCGAAAUGCGAUAAGUAAUGUGAAUUGCAGAAUUCAGUGAAUCAUCGAAUCUUUGAACGCACAUUGCGCCCCGUGGUAUUCCGCGGGGCAUGCCUGUUCGAGCGUCAUUUCACCACUCAAGCCUCGCUUGGUAUUGGGCGAUGCGGUACGCCGCCCGCCUCAAAUCUCCCGGCUGGUUCGAAUCGUCCCUCAGCGUUGUGGAAACUAUUCACUAAAGGUGCGCGGUUCGGUCACGCCGUUAAACAAGACCAUUUUCAUUAAAGGUUGACCUCGGAUCAGGUAGG